UAGAGUUUGAUCCUGGCUCAGGAUGAACGCUAGCGGCAGGCUUAACACAUGCAAGUCGAGGGGUAGAAGUCUUCGGGCUUUGAGACCGGCGCACGGGUGCGUAACGCGUAUGCAAUCUACCUUUUACAGAGGGAUAGCCCAGAGAAAUUUGGAUUAAUACCUCAUAGUAUUAUGAAAUGGCAUCAUUUUAUAAUUAAAGUCACAACGGUAAAAGAUGAGCAUGCGUCCCAUUAGCUAGUUGGUAAGGUAACGGCUUACCAAGGCUACGAUGGGUAGGGGUCCUGAGAGGGAGAUCCCCCACACUGGUACUGAGACACGGACCAGACUCCUACGGGAGGCAGCAGUGAGGAAUAUUGGACAAUGGGCGCAAGCCUGAUCCAGCCAUGCCGCGUGCAGGAUGACGGUCCUAUGGAUUGUAAACUGCUUUUAUACGAGAAGAAACACUCCAACGUGUUGGAGCUUGACGGUAUCGUAAGAAUAAGGAUCGGCUAACUCCGUGCCAGCAGCCGCGGUAAUACGGAGGAUCCAAGCGUUAUCCGGAAUCAUUGGGUUUAAAGGGUCCGUAGGCGGUUUGGUAAGUCAGUGGUGAAAGCCCAUCGCUCAACGGUGGAACGGCCAUUGAUACUGCCAGACUUGAAUUAUUAGGAAGUAACUAGAAUAUGUAGUGUA
rnacentral:rRNA from 1 species